rnacentral:misc_RNA from 1 species
GAAAUGCGAUAAGUAAUGUGAAUUGCAGAAUUCAGUGAAUCAUCGAAUCUUUGAACGCACAUUGCGCCCGCCAGUAUUCUGGCGGGCAUGCCUGUUCGAGCGUCAUUUCAACCAUCAAGCCCCGGGCUUGUGUUGGGGCCCUGCGGCUGCCGCAGGCCCCGAAAACCAGUGGCGGGCUCGCUGUCACACCGAGCGUAGUAGUUACCACCUCGCUCCGGGCGUGCCGCGGGUUCCGGCCGUUAAACCCCCCACACUUUUCCAAAGGUUGACCUCGGAUCAGGUAGGAGUACCCGCUGAACUUAA